UUAAAAAGCUUUGAACCUUGGGCCUGGCUGGCCGGUCCGCCUCACCGCGUGCACUGGUCCGGCCGGGUCUUUCCCUCUGGGGAGCCGCAUGCCCUUCGCUGGGUGUGUCGGGGAACCAGGACUUUUACUCUGAACAAAUUAGAUCGCUUCAAGAAGGCCUAUGCUCGAAUACAUUAGCAUGGAAUAAUGAAAUAGGACGUGUGGUUCUAUUUUGUUGGUUUCUAGGACCGCCGUAAUGAUUAAUAGGGUCAGUCGGGGGUGUCCGAAUUCAAUUGUCAGAGGUGAAAUUCUUGGAUUUAUUGAAGACGAACUACUGCGAAAGCAUUCACCAAGGGUUUCAUUAAUCAGGAACGAAAGUUAGGGGCGAAGACGAU
rnacentral:rRNA from 1 species